AUGUUCUAAAAUGUGAUGCUGCAGUAUCAGACCGGAAAAUUGAAAUGUCUUGUAUCUUUAAUAUAUGAUUUGGUCUGGGUAACAAAAGGUUGUAAAAAAUGAUCUACGUAUUUGGCUAUGGGUUCUAGAAUGGAUCCUAUUCCAGAUACAAUGGGUCUUCCAGGAGGAGGAUGGAUGCCCUUAUGUAUUUUGGGAAGCAUGUAAAAGAGUGGUGUCCUGGGAAAUUGUUUUAUGAGAAAUUCAUAUUAAAGAUACAAGACAUUUCAUCAACACAGUGGAAUCCCUCCAUAUACCUGAAGGUGCUAUACUCAUGACUUUAGACAUCACAGCAUUAUAUACCAGCAUUCCUUUAGAGGAAGCUAGGCAGGUUAUUAAGGAUGUAUUGGACACUAGAGCAUCAUUGUCACCCCCAACACAUUUUCUGAUGGAUCUAUUAGACAUUGUUCUAGAAAACAAUUAUUUUAAAUUUGGCACACAAUUUUAUUUACAAGUAUGUGGAGUCGCCAUGGGGAGUUCUCUGGCUCCUGCUAUUGCCAACCUAUUUGUUGCCUACCUUGAGACAAAAUUCAUUUACAACAGCACAUACAAUCUAGAUCUCCCCGACAUGAUCUAUUAUGGACGAUACAUUGAUGACCAUACCAUACAAUCAACUAUUAAGAUUAAAACGCAACACCAGCCUACAGGAAGACUUCGAAUCUAUCAUAGACCCCUUCAAACAGGCACUGAAGAUGAGGGGAUACCCUGAAAGAAUUGUAGACUCAGCAGUCAAAAGAGCUCAAAGGGUCAAUAGAAGUGUCCUACUACAAGAACAAACUAAGCCUAGUAAGGAUCGUAUCAUCUGGCCACUUACACUCACACCACUAUCAUCCAAAAUUAAGAAUAUUGUCAAUAGACAUUGGCAUCUAAUACACGAGAUCCACGGCUGUGAGAAACCACCUAUGGUAGCCCACAAAAGAUCUAGAAAUUUCAGAAACUUUCUAGUACAUGCAGAUCUCAUUACUCCCACUACUACAGUAAGCCUAAACAAAAAAGGACAUUAUCCAUGUGGCCAUUGUAACUGUUGUAAGCAAUCCCUAAGAAUUCAAGAUGAUAUAUACCCCAUACUCCAUCUUCACAUCACAUUAAGACACUUUACUACAUGUGCAUCUGAAAAUGUCAUAUAUUUGAUUAUAUGUCCAUGUAAAUUGUUAUAUGUAGGGAUGACCUCUAGGGCAUUGAGAACACGGAUACAAGAACACAAAUCCAGAAUCAGGAAUGGAUGCACAGACUCUACUCUAUACACACAUUUUCAAGAAAAAGCUCAUUCUGAUGAGAGUUUUAAGUUCUUUGUGAUAGAGAAGGUAAAACCCAUUGGAGACAAUAAAAGACUUCUUCUACAAAGGGAGUCUUUCUGGACCUUUAAAUUAAACUCUGUAUUCCCCAAAGGACUGAAUGAUAGGAUUGAUUUCACCUGUUAUCUUUAGUGAAUUGAGUAUUUCAGUUCACCAUGCAAGCCAUAGGGCACUUGCAACUUGAGAAAAAACACAGAGCCCUGCAAGAGUAACGACGUAAAUUGACUACAUUGAAAAGCCUUGAACUGAAGCAGGACCAAGCAAGUAAUUAAGAUUAAAGAGACAGCAAUAAAUCCACAACAUACCGCAGAAGAUCCUGAGAAUCUCAGUAAGAAGAAAAAUACCAUACAUCAAAAGACUAUUUAAGACCUUACAUAAAUAACAACAACCUGAAGAAGGACUUCCCGAAACGAGGCAGUGUACCCGGGAUUACUUGUUGUUGCAUAGUUUUGUUCUACAUACACACAACAGCUGUGGACUGUUUUCCGUUGAGUUUGAUGUAUGCUUUACUUUAUAUGUUACUCAAUAAGGUUGUAUAAUUGUAUAUAUACCAUAAUUGUGGACUGUUUUCAGUUGGAGGUUUAUGUGUGUUUUACUUUAUAUGUUUCACAAUAAGUUAGUACCCGGUUGGGACUGUAAAGAAAAUACUCUAUAUACUAGCAUACCACAAUACACACGCAAAAACCUACACGAGAGUAUAUACAUUUAAGUUGUUGUUUUUCUAAUAUAUAUAUAUAUAUAUAUAUACCAUUCUUAUAGCAUUUUAUAUAGAUAUCUGUGCCCUAUCGACCCAUGAAAUCAUGCCUAACACAUCUGGACUUCAGGGUCUUAUCUCGAAUUCUGUGGGAAUAUCUAGUUUGCCUGCUCUUCACGCCCUGCAUUCUCAGGUCUAAUCUACACUCCCUUAAAACCUCCUCAUCUUCCCAAGGCCUUUUCUCAAGGGAACUGGUAUUAUCAUUUUCCCCUGUUGCCUGGGAACGAUCUGAAGACUUCAAAACAUCAGCCUCAUCUGCCUGCAAUUCCCCCCGAACAUUCAGAUACCUCGUUUUUGGAACCUAUCAUCCCCUUCAUCCUCUGAACAUUCAGAAAAAUCCUCUGACGCUUGCCAGGGGGUCAUCCAGUCAAACCCCAUUCUGCCCGGGAGAAGGACUGAUUUUCCACCUUCAUUGGCUUUUACUGUUAGAAUUCUUCCUUGUAUUGAGGUCUUUUCCUAACAUUUGACUCCAUGACUCUAUUGUGUCCUUGUCUCCAGAGCAGCAGAAAAUAGCUUGACCCUUCCUCGAUAUGGCAUCCUUUCUGCUAUUUAAACAUGACUCUCAUGUUCCCUUCUCUCUACCUUCUUUUCUCCAGGCUAAACACAUUUAGCUGCUUAAGCCACUCCACAGAGGCAUUCAUAGAUCUGUUGUCAAAAAAAAUCAACCAACCUUCCUAAAAGAUUAAUUAAAUGCAAGAUUUUCAUGAAAUACUGUAUAUAUUUUGUAUUAAUCCAUACAAGUUCCAUAGUUGCAGAACUCUCGCAAUCCAAUCUUUUGAAAAAGUUCAUUCCCCUGCAGCCGCCCAGAGCUUGAACAUUGCAAGAAUCCAUCAUUCCUUUACCUGGCCCAAAGCCACAAAUGGGGCGGGGGUUCGGGGGGUGGGAUGUGCCUAAAUGACGGUUUGGUCUCAAAUCCCUUCACAAAGGAGUUUCAUCUAAAGCCUCAGAACCAUGUACCCCGGUUUUCCCUUCAGAUUUUAUUUAUGAGUUAUGGUGUACAGAUGAUUGAUGUAUGCUUUACAUUAAAAGAAACUAGGAUGUGCUGAAAUGGAUAUGUGCAGAUACGGCCCAGCGUACCUCGAGAAAUCUUAAAAUACAAUAGUACGUAUGUGCUCAUGGAACUCUUUCAACAUCCUGCUGUGAGGUGAGCUCGCUCAGGCAGACAAAGCAAGCAGGAAAGACCUCAUCCAGAUACACAAGGGUGGAUUAAUCUCAUGAGGGGAUCCAGGUGGAGGCAAAUGCCAGACACAACCAACACCUUGAUGAAAUCUGUAUAAAUCUCUAUGCCUUCCAUUGAAAGGUGUAUGUUUGCACAACCUCUUCAUUGUCUCAAUGGCUCAACCCCUUAUGUAAACUGGACCUCACCUAUAAUCCCAUCUCGGACUGUUUGCAUAUUGCCUCAAACCAUUUAGCCAGCCCAGCCUGAGCAGACUCUCUGAACAGCUCCAGCUUCAAAUGGAUAAAUGACAGCACUUGGUUUUUCCCACCUCAAGGGAGAUUCCAUCCGUAUCUGACAACAGCGGGAUUCCCUGCUCAACAGGGACAUGGAUCCUAAUUUGACCACUUUUCAGCUAAUCAGGGGAGGGUUUUGAAUGGUUGCCAAGGAGAUAAAAUGUCUUUCACUGUACUGCAUUGUUAUGCCCAAUUCCUUUCGAGCGCAGAAUCUGUAUCAGACAUCCUUUCAGACCUGAAAGCUAAUAAACCUCAGUUUGUUGCCUUCAAA